rnacentral:rRNA from 1 species
AUACGUAGGGGGCGAGCGUUGUCCGGAAUGAUUGGGCGUAAAGGGCGCGUAGGCGGCCCGGUAAGUCUGGCGUGAAAGUCCUGCUUUUAAGGUGGGAAUUGCUUUGGAUACUGUCGGGCUUGAGUGCAGGAGAGGUAAGUGGAAUUCCCAGUGUAGCGGUGAAAUGCGUAGAGAUUGGGAGGAACACCAGUGGCGAAGGCGACUUACUGGACUGUAACUGACGCUGAGGCGCGAAAGUGUGGGGAGCAAACAGGAUUAGAUACCCUGGUAGUCCACACUGUAAACGAUGAAUGCUAGGUGUAGGGGGUAUCGACCCCUUCUGUGCCGCAGUUACCACAAUAAGCAUUCCGCCUGGGGAGUACGGCCGCAAGGUUGAAACUUAAAGGAAUUGACGGGG